UGGUAUUUCAGUCCAAUGGUGCAUAACUUGCCACACAGCUAAUGUCCAUUUGCAUUUCUCGAAUAGGUGAACAUUAGUCUCCAUUACUUUCUCAUCACAUAAACAACAUUCAGUGUCAUCAACCUGAAUAUUCAAUCUCAGCUUUCUCUCCUGUGUAAGAUUUCUAUUUCACUAGAGUAUUAUAUUAUUAAAAGAAUUAAUUAUUGAACAUAAAUUUGCUUCAUAGUCAAAGCACACCAGUAAAAAAGAGUUGGUAUCAAUGAAAACAAAAUUAUGACAUGAGAGAUUAGUACACUUGACUUGAACACAAGUUUCAAAAUAAACCAUGAAGAGAAAACAAAUAAAUAAUUAGCCAUCUUUAUAAUUCUAUACACAAAAUGGAGAUGAAAGUGUAGGUCAGAAAGACCACAGAUUACAGAACUAUGAUCACCAGUCAUCUUUCCUUCUCCGUUGGAUGGCAUUUUAGUUCACUUUUCUCCAUUCUUUUUACACACCUUAUCUCAGAAUCUCCCAUCAAAUUUAACUCUGUGUGUGUGGCGUACCUAGAAUCUAACAACAUCUUUUGACUAAAUACCAUCCUAAAUUACCCCUACAUUUAUACAGUGUGCUAUUGGAAGUUACUCACUUUAGGAAACAUGAAGUUCUUAUCUUUAAUCUAUCACUUACUUGGUUGUUUAAGUUAUUUUUAUUUUAUUGCACGGAGAGUUACUUACAUUUUGAAAAAUGUUGUUCUAAGCUUUUAACAAUUAUUUAUUUGGCGUUCACACUUUGUGAGUGCUCUCUUCAAAACGUGGAAAAAAUAUAUCCUAAAUAGCUUCUACGACAAUCGCAGUAAUGCAUCAAACAAUGACACUGUAGUUUAUCUGAAUUACUCACCUAAUCAAUUAAGAUCUUGACACACUUUCUACAGAUCUUUUAAGAUCCUAGAUGAAACAUAAGUAUCUUUAAAGUUAUAGCUCGCUAAUUACUAUUUUUUGCACUCAGUUUUAGAAUUCUUUAGUUGACGAUUGGUGUUUACUUGAUUUUUGAAGGUAUUUCAAAACAUCUCCCUGUUAUGUGUUUCCGGGAUAGCAAAGGUUGGCUACUAAGCUAGGUAUUGUAUCUCCAACACAAUUGAAAUGAUAGAUCAAGUUAGCUCUGCAAUAUUUACUAAAACUGUAAGUUCUUGAAAUCUUUUGGAUAUCUUUCAUCUUAAAUAUCAGUAGAUUUUCUUAAAUAUUUGUUCAAGGUUCUUCAUUCCUCCAACUGGCCGUGGUUUAGUGUUUAUGUGAUUAUACUUGUUGUCAUUGUUACAGUUCCUUACAUAUAUGCUCCGCAUUAUUUUGUUAAAAGUGUAGAUAGGUAAUAUAAUUAUUCUACAUCACUAUAGUGUAAGAGUAAGUAUGCUAACCAAAAGGGCACUGUGUGUAAUUGCAUCAGGGGCGUAAUAAUAAAAAUUUCUAUUAAUUCUAUUGUAUAGAAACAUGAAGAGCUAGGACGACCAAUGGCAUAACCAUAAAUAUACUCAAUAUUGAAGGGUAAUAUGGUCAUUAUACAACACUAAUUUUUUAGCAAUUAACAUGCGCCUCUUCUAUUUUCCUUCUAGAACAUUCUCUCUCUUCCUUCCAUGUUGCAAUUAAGAGAUGACUCAAGAAAAAGAAUUGGUAAAUUGAUCGGAUCUUUCCUAAACCUCCUCUCUCUAGACCUAAUAUGUGAUCUAUCUAUUUCAUAGACUUCUCUUGUGAUGCUACUAAAGCAGGAAUGGGUGGUGUAAAUGGUUUAAUUAUCGGUAUAUAUAAUCGGUUUAUACACAUAGGUAGCUUUAUGAACUUUAAAAAGGAUAUCUAGAAGGAUUGUAACAUGUCAUAUUCUACAAUUCUGAAGAGUAAGCAUGAUGAAUCUUUCUGAUUGAUAAAAAUGGCCUCGAGAGGGAUUGUAACAUGUCAUAUUUUUACAAUUGUGAAGAAUAAGCAUAUGUUGGAAUAUGAAUUUCAUAAAUUGUUGUUUCUUUCUGAUGAAUGUAGUAUAAUUGGUGCAGGUGAUUGACGGUUUAGUUCCAUUAACAGAGAUGUUCAAUUGCGUUAGUAAAACUUGAAAGGGAAUGACAAAGGAGCAUGCAUCGUACAUUAUGCAAUUAGGCAAGUUUGAUGUUGUCCCUCAACACAUUCAAAUCAGCUUGCCAAAAAGGAAGAAGCAGCAGUUGUUUAGUCAGUCAGCUUUCAAAUUUGGAUCCACGAACUUAAAAAUAGGUAUUUUUACUCAAUGAAGGGACUGCUCUUUGACAUCAUCUUGUCUUUUGGUGUUGCAAUUUCAGUUUGAUCUUUUAUCUUAAUUUUAGCCAUUAUUUUAAGAUUCUCUUUACAUUUUCCAACAUGGUUGAAGCGGUUAUAUUUUGACUAGCUUUCACUGCCAUAAAUUUCAUAGAGGCAAGUCAACAUGCCGGUUUUAUACUGAUUUGUUGUGAAUUUCAACCUCUUACUUGUUCUCCUAUGCUUGGUGGUUAAUUUCUUUAAAUUUUUUUACUCAACGGUUAGUCUCCCGUGGUUUCCACUCCAAGUCCACCAAUCCAACGUAAACUUGCCAACAUCGUAUUUCAUGAAACUUGUGUGCACUUACCAAACUACCCUGCCCCUUCGCCCUCAACCAUUAGCUCCCACGCCUAAUAACAAGGACAUCAUAGUAAAAUCACUUUGUUACCGUAAUCGAACAGACCCCAUAGAAUAUAGUUGGACUGGUUAUUUUUUUCUUUAACUUCUUUAAUAAUAAUUAAGAAUCUACGUUAACACUUGACUAAUAGUAUAUGAGUUCCCUCUGUUCUUUUUUCCAUCAUAAAGUUUAAUUUUUCUUUGUUGUUUCUAAAUUAAAACUUGUAUUCUUUUAAUUCCAAUCUUUUAACCUUUUAGGUGAACCAAGAAAAGAAAAAAUGUUGGAUGCAUAAAAGAAUAACAAGUUUUAUUCCCAAUGGUAAGAGUGACAAUUUGUUAGGGUUGGUUUUUUUUUUCCAUAAAUAUUUUUCAGAAUGUAGAAAAUUAUUUUUCUUGUUAAUUUUGCUUAUGUUGUGGGAAUUUUCUGAUAUAACAAGAGUCUACAAUCAGGCAGACGAAAACUCAAAUCGAAAUGAUCAGGAAGUAGAGAUAUGCAAUGUAGAAAUAUUUGAAGAAUGAUAUAACUGGCGUCUUAAAAUAUGGAUUGGAUGUCAACCCCUGCCACAGGGUAAUUUUCUUUUGUUGGAAUUGAUCCAUCUAUAUAUUCUGUUAUUCUAUCACUUAGUUUUAUUUUAUAUGGCCUCUUUCUUUAUACUGAUUUGUUGUGAGUUUUAGUUUUAUUUUAUAUGGCCUGUUUCUUUAUACUGAUUUGUUUGAGUUUCAACCUCUUACGUGUUCUCCUAUUCUUUGGUGGUUAAUUCCAUUAGUUUUUUUGUAUGUGCAUGUUAGUUCGUGCACAUAUCUUUUCUUCUACUUGAUUUUCCUAAAACCAAAUACACGCUAUCACUAAGAAUAAUGGUCUAUUGAGUUCUCUUCCUCUCAAUGCAACUGCAUUGCUUUGGCUAAUUUAUAUGAGCUUAAGGAAAAAGAAAAUGUAGAGUGAAUUUUUUAAAAAGAAAAUGUAGAGUGAUUUUUUUUUCUUUCUUUCUUUUCGGUGAUUACUAAGAAAGGCUAAUGAUCUAAAUUUAUGCAUUCUCUAAGUUGGUCUUUUUCAUAAGCACCAUGCCAAGUCAAAAAGGGCCACAUAAAAUAGGAUAGAUGGAGUAUAAUUUUUUUUUAAAUGUACUUCCUAUCAUAAAUAGUUAUUUUUGUAAUGAAAAAAUUAACAUAAAAUGUAUUCUUGAUAAAAAUAUUAGCCCCCCCCCCCUCCCCCUAAAAUUGAGGGCCCAAGGCAUGUGCUUACUUUUUAUAGCAUAGAGUUUACCAUGUGUUGCAAUUCUCAAGCCUUAAUUAGCUCUUGAAGAAGGUUAGCAACCACAUAUAUCUUCCUUCUCAGAAAUAUUUAUGCACAAAUAUACUUAUAUACGUGCAAGAUGUUUUAACAGUAAAUAUUGAAAUAUAGCGCAAGACUCUUCUCAUAUGAGCCAGACAUGUUUCAAUAUUCUAUGUGCUAAGAGGAUUCUUCCAUGAUUGUGAUUUUGAAUUUUGCAAUGUGAAUGACAGGAAUACUUUCUUGAAUCUAUUUCCUUAGGGCAUUGAGUGAAGGUUGUUCCUUUCAAAUUCACAUAUAACUUGGUAUAUGUUAAUUCUUUGUGGUUAUCUUCAGUAUUUUAUUUUAAAUUGACAUAUAACUUGUAAUAUGCUGGUUCUUUGUGAUUGUCUUCACUAUUUUAUUUUUACUUUUGCUUUAAGUGCUACUAUUUUUAUGAACAGUUGUUAUUUCGGAACUUUUAUUCCUUUCCUUGAGAUAUUAAAGCUGGAGUAUAUAGUUCGUGCUGAGUGAAGGAAAUUUUGCAUCUUAUCAAGACAAUUGCAAACACUCGAGGCAUCAAUGGAUUUAUGAAACGGAAUUUUAUUACUCUACAUGCAGCUCCAUUUAAGGAUACCAACUUCUAUUCUUUUGAAAAAUACAGAGAGCAUCUACUCAAAUUUACUACUAAUGAUUCAAGGCAUCACUAGAUUUUGUAAAAUGAAUUUUGUCAUAUUCUAUGAUUAGCUCUAUGUAAGUCUAUCCACUUCUAUUUUCUUAUGAUAAAUAUUGAAAAGUAUUUAGAAGAUAGUUGUCUGCAAUGUAAAGUUAUUUGUGGAAAGGGAGAAAUUAGUUGUAUUAUUGCACUUUGAAGUUCAUUUGUAUAACUUAUGCAAUGAUCUAUUAGCUUUUACAAUAUAUACUCUUAUCCGAGUAACUAUGCAAAGUACAUACCACUUGAAAAUGCUAAAUGUUGGGCCCGUGUAAGCACGGGCUAUAUCCAUCUAGUCUAUCUAUUAUAUAGAAACGUGAUGAGAGGACGACCACUGGC
rnacentral:lncRNA from 1 species